rnacentral:rRNA from 1 species
UCGCGGCCUAUCAGCUUGUUGGUGGGGUAACGGCCUACCAAGGCGACGACGGGUAGCCGGCCUGAGAGGGCGACCGGCCACACUGGAACUGAGACACGGUCCAGACUCCUACGGGAGGCAGCGGUGGGGAAUAUUGCACAAUGGGCGAAAGCCUGAUGCAGCGACGCCGCGUGAGGGACGACGGCCUUCGGGUUGUAAACCUCUUUCAGCAGGGACGAAGCGAAAGUGACUGUACCUGCAGAAGAAGCACCGGCUAACUACGUGCCAGCAGCCGCGGUAAUACGUAGGGUGCAAGCGUUGUCCGGAUUUAUUGGGCGUAAAGAGCUCGUAGGCGGUUUGUCGCGUCGGAUGUGAAAACCUAUGGCUUAACCAUGGGCCUGCAUUCGAUACGGGCAAACUAGAGUUCGGUAGGGGAGACUGGAACUCCUGGUGUAGCGGUGAAAUGCGCAGAUAUCAGGAAGAACACCGGUGGCGAAGGCGGGUCUCUGGGCCGAUACUGACGCUGAGGAGCGAAAGCGUGGGGAGCAAACAGGAUUAGAUACCCUGGUAGUCCACGCCGUAAACGUUGGGCGCUAGGUGUGGGGAACCUUCCACGUUCUCCGUGCCGUAGCUAACGCAUUAAGCGCCCCGCCUGGGGAGUACGG